rnacentral:rRNA from 1 species
AUGAACCGAUCAGGACGACAAGGACUGCGCGACGGAGGAAGUGGUAAGGAGGCCGGAGAGGAGGCCGACGAUGAGGGCGCUGUUGUACGUGGUGGCCUCGUUCUGCAUCACAUUCUGCCGCUCGUCCACGAACGAGUCGUUCUUGAAGGGCCCCCCGACGAGCGCCCCUGUGGCCACGUUCGGGUUGGGGUCCGGCGACUCGAGCCACUGCUGGCCGCCGCAGCCCGUGUUGACGUCCGCCGGGAUGGACGCGCCGCGGUGGUGCACCCGCUGCGGGUAGCCGUCGCCGUACCCGACCAGGUAGCUCAGCUUCAUCGGGUUGUCCCCCAGCACGUAGUCCGCCUGCCAUUGCCAAACAUACAUUCUCAGGUCGGCCGGCGAGAAGCUCUGCCCGCCGCAGGUGAGCUCCGUCUUCCCCGAGGUGAGCAUGUAGUCGCCGUAAACGGCGGCGAGGAAGGCGGAGGCGACGGGGUGCUGGAGCGAGUUCCACUCGGCCACAUACAGCAACCCACCUUCCGUUCUGAACGCGGCGGUUUCAGAGUCCGGCAGAAGGAUGCACAUGACGGCGUCGGCGGUCUGCUUGUACGACUCCAGGCCGCCGUUUUCCUCGGCGACGCCGGCUCCCUGCGACGCGAAGAAACUCACCCUCGACAAGAGGACCUGGGUGCCCGGGCGCUUGUCGUCCCAGCUGAAGUACCGGGGGUUGCCGAGGUCGGCGAAGUCCUCGCCGUUCUUGCCGGUGGCGUAGGCGAGGUAGCUGCCGUUGCCGGUGGCGUGGAAGAGCCAGCCGCUCGCCCACAGGAGCUCGUCCUGGUACGUGGUGGAGUUGUAGUACUUGGCGAGCUCCGGGAAGGUACGCGUGUAGGCGGCCCUGUGCCGGUCCGCGAAGGAGAACAGCUGCUCCGCGUGGCCCAGCAGGGACGACGAGUAGGAAGCGUCGAUGGGCUUGUACACCAGCGACGCCGCGGCCAUCGCCGCCGCCGUCUCGGCCGCCACGUCGCUGCCGGGGGAGUUCGCGGUGAUCUUGGUCAGCGGCCGCUUCUCCGACAUGGUCUCCGGCCUCUCCCAGCACUUGUGGUCCACUUCAGGGUCGCCUACCUGGUCGAUGAUCACAACAAUUGA